UGGGGAAUAUUGGGCAAUGGAGGGAACUCUGACCCAGCAAUGCCGCGUGAGUGAAGAAGGUUUUCGGAUUGUAAAGCUCUUUAAGCGGGGACGAAGAAAGUGACUGUACCCGCAGAAUAAGCAUCGGCUAACUACGUGCCAGCAGCCGCGGUAAUACGUAGGAUGCAAGCGUUAUCCGGAAUGACUGGGCGUAAAGGGUGCGUAGGCGGUUUUGCAAGUUGGCAGCGUAAUUCCGGGGCUUAACUCCGGAACUACUGCCAAAACUGUAGGGCUUGAGUGCGGCAGGGGUAUGUGGAAUUCCUAGUGUAGCGGUGGAAUGCGUAGAUAUUAGGAAGAACACCGGAGGCGAAAGCGACAUACUGGGCCGUAACUGACGCUGAGGCACGAAAGCGUGGGGAGCAAACAGG
rnacentral:rRNA from 1 species